GAUGAACGCUGGCGGCGUGCUUAACACAUGCAAGUCGAACGGAAAGGCCCUGCUUUUGUGGGGUGCUCGAGUGGCGAACGCGUGAGUAACACGUGAGUAACCUGUCCCUGACUUUGGGAUAUCUUCACGAAACUGGGGCUAAUACCGGAUAGGAGCUCCUGCUGCAUGGUGGGGGUUGGAAAGUUUCGGCGGUUGGGGAUGGACUCGCGGCUUACCAGCUGCUUGGUCGGGUAGUGGCUUACAAAGGCUUUGACGGAUAGCCUGCCUGGGAGGGGGGACGGCCACAAUGGGACUGAGAUACGGACCAGACUCCAACGGGAGGCAGCAGUGGGGAAUAUUGCACAAUGGGCGGAAGCCUGAUGCAGCAGCGCCGCGUGCGGGAUGACGGCCUUCGGGUUGUAAACCGCUUUCGCCUGUGACGAAGCGUGAGUGACGGUAAUGGGUAAAGAAGCACCGGCUAACUACGUG
rnacentral:rRNA from 1 species